rnacentral:rRNA from 1 species
GACGAACGCUGGCGGCGUGCCUAAUGCAUGCAAGUAGAACGCUGAAGCGAGGAGCUUGCUCUUCUUGGAUGAGUUGCGAACGGGUGAGUAACGCGUAGGUAACCUGCCUUGUAGCGGGGGAUAACUAUUGGAAACGAUAGCUAAUACCGCAUAACAAUGGAUGACACAUGUCAUUUAUUUGAAAGGGGCAAUUGUUCCACUACAAGAUGGACCUGCGUUGUAUUAGCUAGUAGGUGAGGUAAUGGCUCACCUAGGCGACGAUGCAUAGCCGACCUGAGAGGGUGAUCGGCCACACUGGGACUGAGACACGGCCCAGACUCCUACGGGAGGCAGCAGUAGGGAAUCUUCGGCAAUGGGGGCAACCCUGACCGAGCAACGCCGCGUGAGUGAAGAAGGUUUUCGGAUCGUAAAGCUCUGUUGUAAGUCAAGAACGGGUGUGAGAGUGGAAAGUUCACACUGUGACGGUAGCUUACCAGAAAGGGACGGCUAACUACGUG